CCUACGGGAGACAGCAGUGAGGAAUAUUGGUCAAUGGGCGUAAGCCUGAACCAGCCAAGUCGCGUGAGGGAUGAAGGUUCUCGGUACGUAAAGCUCUAUCAGCAGGGAAGAAAAUGACGGUACCUGACUAAGAAGCCCCGGCUAACUACGUGCCAGCAGCCGCGGUAAUACGUAGGGGGCAAGCGUUGUUCGGAAUGACUGGGCGUAAAGGGUGUGUAGGUGGUUUGAUAAGUUAGAUGUGUAAUACCCAGGGCUUAACUCGGGUGCUGCAUCUAAAACUGUUAGACUUGAGUACUGGAGAGGAUAGUGGAAUUCCUAGUGUAGCGGUGGAAUGCGUAGAUAUUAGGAGGAACAUCAGUGGCGAAGGCGACUAUCUGGACAGCAACUGACACUGAGGCACGAAAGCGUGGGGAGCAAACAGGAUUAGAUACCCCGGUAGUC
rnacentral:rRNA from 1 species